ensembl:lncRNA
GAAAGAAGUGAUUAAACAGAAGGAAGGUUGUGCUGAAAAUGUUAACGGUGCAGGGCUUUCACGGAUUAACCAUGAAGACUGUUAGCGUGUUUUAUUCUGAUUCAAGCCCAAAUCUUCAGACUCGGAUUGCUGCUGCCAAGUGUGGUUCAGCUGUGGUGUGCUCGUGGAGGAGCCAGUCUGUCAGGUGGAAACUGAUGUCCUCAAUGAGCUGGUUGAACUCCCCCCUCAAUAGCACAGCUUUAACCACUAUCAUUAAUGAAGCAUGUUACAAGCUUAAAAUUACCUGAGAUAGAAAAAAAAAGGCUAUUGUUCAUUGCUGGUUUUUCAGAGUACAGAUGAGCAGCCUAUGAAUUGGCUUUUUGAAUUCCUUACUUUGGUCUUCUGCGAGUUAGGGGCCAGGAAGACUUCAGGGUGGCCUAUAGGUCUGGUUCAGGGACUGAGUUCUGCCUUGAAAUUGCUUGAAUUGGAGGGAUCUGUGGCACUCCAACAGUACUGUUAGCCGUGAAGAGCAGGUGAAUGUGCAGAUCAGAAGCUGUCACCUUUGAAACCACAGAUCUGCACUGUAAAAGGGAACAAAAGGACUUCCCAUUUCCUGAGCCUGCAGUCACGUUUGUGAAGUUCAGAUGUUCUCCAGAUCAAGCCAUUAUGGAGAAAUGUGUUUUUUUCUGAUCAUAAUAAUUAGUGAUGAAAAGAUAACUGAAAUCCCUGGGAUUUUGGAGGACAGCUUCUGUCAGCACAGUCUUCUCUUUGUUCAACUGUACAGAGGCACCCAGAAGCAGCAGGGAACAGCAAGAAAAACAAGAGGAGACAAAGCAGGAAGGCUGCACACCAUGACCUGGGGACUCUCAUGGCAGCACGCAUGCUGGGAAGGUGAGCUCCACACCAAGCACUGAACUUGUCCUGUCCCAACCUGCAGUAAGUGCCCACUGCUUCUGCACACGUGAUGCUUGCCUUGGAGUUGUGGCUCUUUCAGAGAGCUGUUGUGAAGGAGGUACACAAAGAUGAUAAUCCUGGAAAAAGAAGGCUCUAAAGAUCCGCAGGUCACCGUGUGUGGCGUUGGUGUCUGCAGAAUGUCCGUACCUGAAGAAUCUGCCAAGCACUAUUUGAUGUUGUUCCUUGCUGGGGAUGUGUGUUUUGGCACCCUGUCCAUUAACACUCCCUGAAAUAGGGAGACAGAUCUGUGAGAUGGAAAUUUCUGACCUCUUGUAAAUGAGGCUUUUAUUCUCAGCAAGCUUGGUAUCCCUAAAUGUACAGUUAAUAUUCUUCUGUAUCAGGAAAAGCUGCUCAGAUACGUGGUCUCAACUGAUUCAGGCUUCAAGUUGGAAAGUUUUUCGUGCUGUUUAUAGAUGGAGAUGGUGGCUCUGCAUAUGCUGGUGUAUGUUGUUCCUAAAAGUAAUGACAUUUCCUUUAGACACCUAAGUUCUGAACCAAGAAUCUUGUUUCUGGAGGGCUGUGAAAUGCACGUAGCGCCGCACUGAAUCGAUGGGAUUAAUGAGUUCUCUCUACCUGUUUUGUUCGCUAAUGUCUGCUCUUCUGAAUUGGUUUGUUUUGCUUAACACACACGCUGUAUCAACCUAACUAUGUAGUUUUGGGCUAGAAGUCAGGUUUUCUGUGUUGCUAUCAGGUCUUCAACUUUUCAAAAUGAAAGGUCUUUAAUAUUAGUCUGGUUUUGAGCCAAUUUCUUAAUAAGAAUAACGUAUUAUAAAUUGCUGAAA